UAAAUUUACUUCUAUCUCCCAUUUGGACAGCUGAGGCCUCUUGUGGAUAAGAGGGGAGGGGAGUGGGGGGUGGAAACAUCUCCAGGAUCCUUGAAUGUUCCAGACCUUUCUUUAAAAUCUGUCAAAAAAACCAGGUUUUUCCACUCCAGCUAGAAGGAAUUAUUCUUUUGUUAAUCUCCUUUUAGUUUGAAGACAUUGCUGGAAGAAAGAAGGUAGAAAAGGAAAUGCAUAGGUAUUUUUAUUCCGAAAUAUAUAUGUAUACUCUCUUUUUCCUUAGGCUUUAGACAACGUCCCCCUCCUUCUCUACAUCCUGGCCCUGAAGACCCUGAUCCUGUGUCUGGGGUUCGCCGGGGUGAAGAUCUACCAGAGCAAGAAGGCAGACCAGGCACUGAAGAAGCAGAGAGACGAGCAGAAGAGGCUAGCCCAGAUCACCCAGGAGCUCAUAGACAACAAGAAGGACGACUGAGAACACCUGCACACAGGGAACAUGUUUCUGACCUGAGGAACAUGCCAGUUUCUCCACAAACGAGCCGGAUGUCUGACUGUCGGCAGCAGGAGGUCCUCCCUCUGCCUUACAUCACUCUACUGGUUUUCCAUAUGUAAAUGUUUGACCGAACUAUCAGUCAAACAUUGUUUUUUAAUCAAAUCGAAUGACAGCAGGAAAGCUGAGGGACUGUUUUGUCUUAUUAACAGUGAAGAAACACACGGCCCAGCGUCCACUCCUUUCUGGGCCUCAUCUACUGUUUUCUUUAUACUCGUCACACUUGAAUUAGCUUCACUUUGUACACCGGGAGUGUUAGUGUAUCAAUGCUAGUCAAAUCUGCUUAUUCUCAAGAAUACAGCAUGGUAUUUAUUCUGAAAUAUUCCUUGUAAAUUGUCUACCUGCAUUGUGCCAAACUUUUAUAUUUGUAUUAAACUGUUUGUUCCACAUGUU